ACGUUGGUGAUUCAGUGGUAGAAUUCUUGCCUUCUGUGUGGGAGACCCCAGUUCAGUUCCUGGCCAAUGCA
rfam:Loxodonta africana unplaced genomic scaffold scaffold_3, whole genome shotgun sequence.